rnacentral:rRNA from 1 species
UACAGAGGUCUCAAGCGUUGUUCGGAUUCAUUGGGCGUAAAGGGUGCGUAGGCGGCGUGGUAAGUCGGAUGUGAAAUCUCGGAGCUUAACUCCGAAACUGCAUUCGAUACUGCCGUGCUUGAGGACUGGAGAGGAGACUGGAAUUCCUGGUGUAGCGGUGAAAUGCGCAGAUAUCAGGAGGAACACCGGUGGCGAAGGCGGCUCACUGGCCCGGUACUGACGCUGAGGUGCGAAAGCGUGGGGAGCAAACAGG